CCUACGGGAGGCAGCAGUGAGGAAUAUUGGUCAAUGGACGGAAGUCUGAACCAGCCAUGCCGCGUGCAGGAAGACGGCUCUAUGAGUUGUAAACUGCGUUUGUACAGGGGUAAACCUGAAUACGUGUAUUCAGCUGAAAGUACUGUACGAAUAAGGAUAGGCUAACUCCGUGCCAGCAGCCGCGGUAAUACGGAGGAUUCAAGCGUUAUACGGAUUUAUUGGGGUGAAAGGGUGCGUAGGCGGAUUGAUAAGUUAGUGGUGAAAGGUUCGAGCUUAACUCGGGAACUGCCUUUAAUACUGUUGAUCUAGAGAGUAGAUGCGGUAGGCGGAAUGUAUGGUGUAGCGGUGAAAUGCUUAGAGAUCAUACAGAACACCGAUUGCGAAGGCAGCUUACCAAUCUAUAUCUGACGUUGAGGCACGAAAGCGUGGGGAGCAAACAGGAUUAGAUACCCCAGUAGUC
rnacentral:rRNA from 1 species